AGAGUUUGAUCAUGGCUCAGAACGUACGCUGGCGGCACGCCUAACACAUGCAAGUCGAACGAAGUAGCAAUACUUAGUGGCAGACGGGUGAGUAACAUGUAGGUAUCUACCCUGUGGCCUGGAAUAACACGAGGAAACUUGUGCUAAUACCGGAUAAGUCUUUACAGAGAAAGCUUUAUGCACCAUUGGAUAAGCCUGCACUUGAUUAGUUUGUUGGUAGGGUAAUGGCCUACCAAGACUUUGAUCAAUAGCUGAUUUGAGAGGAUGAUCAUCCACAUUGGGACUGAGACACGGCCCAAACUCCUACGGGAGGCAGCAGUGGGGAAUCUUGCACAAUGGAAGAAACUCUGAUGC
rnacentral:rRNA from 1 species